UACGGAGGGGGCUAGCGUUGUUCGGAAUUACUGGGGCGUAAAGCGCACGUAGGCGGCUUUGUAAGUUAGAGGUGAAAGCCCAGGGCUUAACCCUGGAAUUGCCUUUAAGACUGCAUCGCUAGAAUUGUGGAGAGGUAAGUGGAAUUCCGAGUGUAGAGGUGAAAUUCGUAGAUAUUCGGAAGAACACCAGUGGCGAAGGCGACUUACUGGACACAUAUUGACGCUGAGGUGCGAAAGCGUGGGGAGCAAACAGG
rnacentral:rRNA from 1 species